rnacentral:rRNA from 1 species
GACAAACGCUGGCGGCGUGCUUAACACAUGCAAGUCGAACGGUCUACCUUCGGGUAGAUAGUGGCGGACGGGUGAGUAACACGUAGAUGACCUGCCCUUUAGUGGGGAAUAACUUCUCGAAAGAGAGGCUAAUACCGCAUAAGUUCUACAUCGUUGGGUGUAGAAGAAACCUCUGGCCGUCAAAAGCUGGGGGGCGUGAAGGAGGGGUCGUGCGGCGGAUUAG